UCCCUCCUCUUCCCAGUUCCAUACAGCUGCCAAGUCCUGUUGGCAGCCCAGGGUUUUCCACUCUUGUCAUGCAGUUGUCAGGCCCUUCUCUUUUCUUCACCACCCACAGGGCCACUUCACACACAGUCUGCCCCCUUACUCCUGGCACAUUUUCUUUAAUUUGUUGGGGAUCCUAACGCUGACCCAAUCUCGCAUCCUGCAAAUACUGAUACAAGCUGUAGCUAUCCAUAGCAGCACUGAAUAUCCAAGAACACCCACGCCUGGCAGGACGCAGGAAAUUUCAGGCUGGUGGCACCCCCAAUGAAGGGCUGUGCGGGAUGGUGCGUGCCAGAGGAGGGCGUCAGUGAGCUGUUUGGUUCCUGAGGUUCAGAAAAAAUCAUUUAGUCUUUUGAUUUUGUGCAAAUGGUAACAGAUUCAGCUUAAUUUUCAAGCAAGAAGAUUCUAGAUUGUGAAAAGACAAAAGAAAAUAGAAAAAUUGUCUACAGUGGACCCUCUUUCUAAAACUGAGGAAAAUCUGCCUUAAAAAUUGAUUCGUAAAUGUAGAGUCAGGUUGAGAUUAGAAAGGUAAAUGUUUUAGGGACAUUGAGCACAAAAUUGCGAAUUCGUUCCAGUGUCAUUUAGAAUGUUUUCUGGGUCUCUGAGUUUAAGUUCCUACAAUUAUUAAAUUGAAAAGAAAAUGUCCAAAACUAUACACUUGAGUUUUAACUUAAUCAGAUAGUUUGUGAUGUUUAAUUUGCAAGAAAUAGAAGGUCAUUUUCUUCACUGUUGCCCUGAUAACCGUGUUUGUAUAAAACAGCGGUUCUCAACCUUCCUAAUGCCACAGCCCUUUAAUACAGUUCCUGUGGAUCGUGACGCACAGGUUGAAAACCGCGGGUACAAUAAAGGAUGGGCCAAGAAAACCAAAAUCAGCUUUCUGGCUCAAACUAAAAUUCAUUUCUGAAACUCCAGUCUUACAUGUGAAACAACUGCCACACACACGAAUGAACUAGCCUGCUUAGCUAUGUGUACAGCCCUGUCUGGUGGAGAAUCAACCCUGACAGCUGGAUUUGGAUGGUGCCACUAAGAGCUAGGAUUUCAGGCAGAGGGAGGGGCUGAGGAAAGGUGUCACUAUAGGCUGGAAAUCAGUCUGAAAGGAGGCAGGGAUUGGACAGCCAGGUUGGAGGUCCUGCUAUAGCGACUAGGGACCUUGGACAGAGGUGAGAGGAGGGCCGAUGACGGGAGCAGGUGGAAUUGCAGCACGGCAUGGAGGCUGAGACAGAGUGAGUGGGAGAACCAGGAGCAUACAGCUCCCAGCUUUGUGUCCGUGACACAUCAGGGUGGCGUGAGUGCUGUAAGGCUCCAGUGACAAGAGCUGGGACAUGAGGCCCAGUGAGGAAGCCCAGGUGGGGGCACAGGCUCAAUCAGGAAACCGGGGGGAGGGAGAGGAGCGUCCAUGACAGCCUGAGACCCAGGCCCAGAAAGUGGGGCGCUCAGAGGCCAGUAGAAGGGGUCACCACUUCAGUUCUCUAGAACUAGAAGGAGAUGAGGGCGAAACAGGAGGGAAGCUGAGUAAGCUCAUGUCCUAGAGUUUCUGGCUUAUCACUGGAGAAGGGAAGAGGAGCCCGGGUGUGUCUGGGAGCUUACGGAGCUCGAAUAAAGGUCUUCAAACAAGAAGGUGCAAGAAGUCUACAUGGGCCAGGAACAAGGGCUUUGGCCACUUGUGUGUAUUUACUGCAGUCCUGUGCUCUGCUGAGCCCCUGCCCGAUGGGAAUGGUGAUGAACUGAACUUGGCCUUGCUCACCUGGCUCUGCUAGGCCAACCACUGACACCAGCAUCAGCGCAGGAGGCAACAAAGGCAGCCACUGCAGGGCAGCAGGAGGAAGGAGCAGCGCGUGCCGGAGACCUGCACUCCCCAGCAGCUCGCAGGCAAAGACUGUGAAAUGGGGCCCAUGGCUAGUGUCGCUCUUUUGCUGUCUUGACAGUUCUGCAUACGGAGUUUUUAUUGUAAGAUUAUAAUGUGAUGUUAAAUGAAAGUACCAUGUUAUAUCUGAAA